rnacentral:lncRNA from 10 species
GUAAGCAAUUCUGCCUUACCUGGAUCCAGGGAUGAGGACAGUGAUGCUACUUAAAUUGUGUGUAUUCUGUUUAAGUAAUUAAUGGGGAGGCUAGGUGAGAAAUGAUUGUACUUGCCAGUACUUGACUGGCUGUACUAGCAUUUUCCCAGUGCUGUUUGAGAAAACACCAGAGAAACAAUUUGCCUUGAGCUACAUUCUUUUUAAUUAAUGAACCUGAAAUUUUUAACCUAUUGUAGCUUAUUCUAGCAUUAAUUUUCUUUACAAUAUUCUUUCAUCAAUUCUAUAUAUGAAUUUGUAAGUAAGACCCAUAUGAAGAGCAACCCAUAAAUCUUAAAUAUAUGAUUCACUUACUGAUUCCUUUAUAUAUAUUACUUACAUUGUGCAGGUUAGUUACAUAUGUAUACAUGUGCCAUGCUGGUGCGCUGUACCCAC